AGCGCAGACGGUUAUUUAAGCAAGAUGUGAAAGCCCCGGGCUCAACCUGGGAACUGCGUUUUGAACUGGGUAACUAGAGUGUGUCAGAGGGGGGUAGGAAUUCCACGUGUAGCAGUGAAAUGCGUAGAGAUGUGGAGGAAUACCGAUGGCGAAGGCAGCCCCCUGGGAUAACAUUGACGUUCAUGCUCGAAAGCGUGGGUAGCAAACA
rnacentral:rRNA from 1 species